rnacentral:rRNA from 1 species
UACGAAGGGGACUAGCGUUGUUCGGAUUUACUGGGCGUAAAGCGUGCGCAGGCGGUUUGCUAAGACAGGUGUGAAAUCCCCGGGCUUAACCUGGGAACUGCGCUUGUAACUGGCAAGCUUGAGUGUGGCAGAGGGGGGUGGAAUUCCACGUGUAGCAGUGAAAUGCGUAGAGAUGUGGAGGAACACCGAUGGCGAAGGCAGCCCCCUGGGCUAACACUGACGCUCAUGCACGAAAGCGUGGGGAGCAAACAGG